rnacentral:lncRNA from 1 species
UCGGGAUUGAUCUGGAUGUUGAACCGGGACCUUUGAUUUCUACUGACCUGCGCACGAAAACAACCGUAUGCUGAGUAUUUCAUACUCAGUGGUAUUACCAUAAUUCAACAUAUAUAACUUUUAUGAAUUAUAAAUAUUAAUCAUAUAACAUUAAACAUGUAAAAUUUAUAACUUAUAAGAACUAAUUUACAUUCAGUUUCAUAUUUCAUAUAAUAAUUCAUCAACAAUGUUAUAUAUUAAUAACAUGAAUUUGCUCAAUUCAUGAACCUUAGGUUCAUGCUUUCAAAUUUCACAAUUCGACUAACAAUUUAUUUCUUAUACUUUCAGUUGUACGAUCAAUCAAAUUUAUUCAAUUCUCACAUUUCGAUUAUUCACCCUAUUAACAAACCUGAACCUUGGCGGAUACACGGAUUCCAACCAAACACAUCAGUACGGCACAUUGUGCCUAAAACAGUACUCAGUACCCGAUCAACAUAUCAGAAGCAGUAUACGACACAUAAAGUGCCUGAAACGACACACGUUGUAACACCCUUACCCGUAUCCGUCGCCGGAAUAAGAUACGAGGUAUUACCAGAUUUUACUGAUUUUUUUUAAAACUCAAUAUAACCCCUUUAUAAAUAUCUAAUCCUCCCUGCAAAUUUUAAACCGAGACCAAGCCAACACAACCAAUCCAUUUCAACAUAUUUUCAAGAUAGAUUUAUUGUAUUCAUAAGAUAAUCUCAUCACAUGCCAAAACCAAAAUUUGUUAGCCAUACCAAUGGCUAACCAUACAUUCAUUCCACAUUAACAUCUACUUUACUAGCUUAUACAUGCCAUUGAUUUCCAAAAUAAGUUCUUUAUGUACCGAGAUCUUGACGUUGAUAGUGUGAUGUGUCUCUGACCAAAUCCGACCUCCGAGCUCUUAACUCUACAAACAGGGGAAAAAGAAACAGGGUAAGCACUUUGUGCUUAGUAAGCUCAUGUAACAGGAAUUAUACUUACCUAAUUUUUUUUUAUACAAUGCAAUAAACAUUCAUACAUCAUUCAAUACAUUAUUCCCCUAUCAUGCACAAACUCAACAUUCAAAUUAGUCCAAUAAUUUCCACGUAUCAAUAAUUUAUAUCAUGAUUGAUGAGCUCAUCAAUUCCAUGAUUUCCAUUUCCUUGUUAUUUUUCCAUAUUCAUCUCGUUGAACUACUUGGAAUUUCGAUGGAUUUUCAGAGGUACACCAAAGUGUACAAAUUCCGGGUCCGUCAAUUCAUAUUCAUGUGCGCACAUUUCCAUUUCAGAGAGCACACUCCCGCGAACCUCAUCCUUACAGCGGGAUUACCAGUCCAGGCUAAAUCCCCUGUAAUAUAAACUCACAGAGUAUUGCCGGGAUUACCAGUCCAGGCUAAAUCCCCUGCAACGACAAUUACUCUAAUGAGCUUGGAUCUGAAUUACCAGUCCAGGCUAAAUUCAGACCCUAAUUCGGAUUACCCGUCCGGGCUAAAUCCAUUUUCCACAUAUUCUUCGGGAGGGCUAUAUCAGAAUAGGAUCACCCGUCCGGGCUAGAUCCUUUUUACCGUCAAUUCCUUUUCAGAGAUCCAUCGAAUUUUCCUUUCAUUCAACGGAGAUUUAUUUCCUCUUUUCAUCAAGAAUAUCAAUACUUCAUCAAUUAUCAUACAAUAAACAUCCAAAUCAUAUUCACAUCAAUAACAAACAUUUCAAGCAUUUAUGAAUAUAAUUCAAGUUACACGAACUUACCUCGACACUUGUUCGUAACCAAAAAUCUACUAAUCCUGAACUUUUUCUUUUCCUCGAUCUUGCUUCGUAUUUGAAUUUUCCGGAUCUAAAUAAAUAAAUUUAAUCAUUAAUCUAAUACUUUUCAUGUUCAUAUGUAACAUUCUCUAGAAUUCCAUUAUUAUUUAUAGUGCAUUCAAAGUUGUCUCACUGAGUCACAGUAACUAAAUUAUUUAUAUCUUGAGCUACGGAACUCCAAAUUAAGAUCCGCUAAUUUUCCCUGAAACUAGACUCACAUAUCUUCUUAUCAUAAAAUUUUCAGAAUUUUUAGUUUAGCCAAUAAGUACAGUUUAUUCUUUAAAGUUUCCCCUGUUUCACUGUUCAACAGUUCCGACCUCUUCUUCACUAAAAAUUAAUUAUCUCAUAGUACAGAAUUCGGAUGAUGUUUCCAUUUGUUUCUUCUGAAAAUAGACUCACUAAGGAUUCUAAGCAUAUAAAUUAUAACUCAUAAUCAUUUUUGUACAAUUUUUAAUGAUUUUCAAAAGUCAGAACAGGGGAACCCGAAUUCAUCCUGACCUUGUCUCACAAAAUCUAUUAUAUCUCAUGAUUUACAAUUCCAUUGCUUACACCGUUUCUUUUAUAAGAAACUAGACUCAAUAAGCUUUAAUUUCAUAUUUUAUUCACCCUCUAAUUCGAUCUCUACAAUUUUUGGUGAUUUUUCAAAGUUAGAGUACUGCUGCUGUCCAAAACUGUUUUAGUGUAUGAUGUUAAUUACCAUUUUCCCCUAAACUUUCAAUAAAUGAUAAUUUCAUCUCUGCUCAAUUAACCUCUCAAUUGAGCUGAUUUUUCUCAAUUAACACUAUAUUUCAUUACUUUAAAGUACUUUAUAACCUUUGGAAAUCAUAAUUUUAGCACUAGACUUUAAUUCCAAACUUUUUCACAAUUAGGUCCUACAAAUCAAUUUCUAUUGAAAUUACCUAAUAAAAUCAUCUCACAACAAAUUAAAGCUUCAAUUUCAUCCUAUUUCAUCAUAAACUUCCAGCACAUAUUCAUAGAAACUUUCAAGUUCAUUCACAAAAUCAAAAACUAAUGAAUUUAGUAAUAGGACCUAGUUGUAAAAGUCUUAGAAACACAAAAAUUACAAGAAAAAGGCAAGAAUUAACUCACUUGGGGCAAAAAUUAUGAAAAACCCUUAGGACGUUUUUGGCUGAUGGGAAUGCAAAAAAAUAAAGAGGAAUCUAGAUAAUUCCACUUUAGUCCUAACUUUUAAAGCAAAUUUUGCAAUAUUCCAAUUUUACCCUUAAUUCUUCAAUUCUCCUGAUUUUUCUCAGCGUAUGCUGCCCAAAAUAUCUCCUUUUGGGGUUAUUUUCAAUUUAUGUCCCUCUUCAUUUAACAAUUGAGCUAUUUAAUCCUUCUAGUAACUUUUACACAUUUUUCAAUUUAGUCCUUUUCACUUAAUUGACUACCCAAACAUUAAAAUUUUCUAACGAAAUUUUAAUACCAUAUUUCUAACACUUCAUAAAUAUUUAUAAAAAUAUUUUUGACUCGGUUUUACGAGAUCGAAGUCUCGAUACCUUAUUUUUACCCAAUUUCUUCUAUAAUUUCUUUUUCUAACUAACCACUAAAUCGGUAAAAUUUUUCUAUCGAUAUUUUCAUACGAUUUUCCUAUCAUAUCAAUAUUCAUGCAAAAAAAAAUAUAAAAAUAAAUUUAUCUUUAAAUCGGAUUUGUGGUUACGAAACCACUAUUCCGAUAGCUUUGAAUCUGGGCCAUUACACACGUGGUGCCUAAUACGACACAUAUAGUGCCUGAUUGGCAAAGCCGAUAAAUUACCGUACUCUUCCAAUCCUAUGGCAUGCCAACUGUAUCCGACUAAGCCCGAUUAGUUAAUAAGGUAUUCAAAUCACUUUCUCAAUUUCAAUUUCAGUUUCAAUGUACAAAUCAAUUCGAUACAAUUUUCCACUUUCCAACAAUAUACUAUCAAAUAUUCAUAUAUAAUCAUACUUCAUCUCAAAUUCAUUCAUUUCAAUAUUGAUACCUACCUUAAAAUUUUACUUACCAUAUACAUAAAUUUAAAUAUAACAUUUAAUAAAUAGUAGUUUGAAUUAUAGUAAUACAAACCGUGAAUUUCUCGUUUUAGUCCUCGAUAGCCCUCUCCUUUCCUUUGUGUGUCGAUGCCUCGGGUUCUUUGUUAGCUACGAAAAUAAUAAUAAAUUUUUUCAUUAUUAAUACAACACUAAUUUACAAUAAUUAAUUGAAUUCCUUUUCAAUUUAUACCCUAACUCCAAUUUAAUCCUAAUUAACUCAUUUACUUUUCUAACUCAAUUCACACUUCAUUUCUACUUAAUAUCUUGCCAUGUUCAACUUAACUAUUCAAUGUUCAUAUUAAAAUCUUAAUUUUAAACUUCUUUCAAUUUAAUCCCUACUAUGUAAAACUUAUAACCUAGUUUGCAAUUUUAAUCCUUUAAUCAAUUCUAACUUGAAAUUCAUUCAAUUAAACCCCUAAUUCAUUAUUUUGUUCAACAUGAACUAACUUCAAAAACCUAAGAACUUUCAAAACUUCAACUUAAUUUCAACAAAACUUUGUUCUAAAGCUUCUAAAAUAUCAAAAUUAAGAGAAAAGGACUUAAUUGACUUACCUUUUAAACUUUAAAACCUUAAACCCUAGUUUUUCGUUUUCUUUUUCUUUUCUUCUUUCCUUUCUCC